AUCCUGGCUCAGAAUGAACGCUGGCGGCAUGCCUUACACAUGCAAGUCGAACGGCAGCACGGGGGUAACCCUGGUGGCGAGUGGCGAACGGGUGAGUAAUACAUCGGAACGUGUCCUGUAGUGGGGGAUAGCCCGGCGAAAGCCGGAUUAAUACCGCAUACGCUCUACGGAGGAAAGGGGGGGAUCUUAGGACCUCUCGCUACAGGGGCGGCCGAUGGCAGAUUAGCUAGUUGGUGGGGUAAAGGCCUACCAAGGCGACGAUCUGUAGCUGGUCUGAGAGGACGACCAGCCACACUGGGACUGAGACACGGCCCAGACUCCUACGGGAGGCAGCAGUGGGGAAUUUUGGACAAUGGGGGCAACCCUGAUCCAGCAAUGCCGCGUGUGUGAAGAAGGCCUUCGGGUUGUAAAGCACUUUUGUCCGGAAAGAAAUCCCUUGCCCUAAUACGGUGGGGGGAUGACGGUACCGGAAGAAUAAGCAC
rnacentral:rRNA from 1 species